rnacentral:rRNA from 1 species
GAUGAACGCUAGCGAUAGGCUUAACACAUGCAAGUCGAGGGGCAGCACAAGGUAGCUUGCUAUCUGGGUGGCGACCGGCGCACGGGUGCGUAACGCGUAUGCAACUUGCCCUAUACAGGAGGAUAACCCGUCGAAAGACGGCCUAAUACUGCGUAUGCUCACAACUUGGCAUCAAGUGGUGAGGAAAGAAAUUCGGUAUAGGAUAGGCAUGCGUCCCAUUAGCUUGUUGGUGAGGUAACGGCUCACCAAGGCAACGAUGGGUAGGGGAACUGAGAGGUUUAUCCCCCACACUGGUAAUGAGACACGGACCAGAAUCCUACGGGAGGCAGCAGUGAGGAAGAUUGGGCAAGGGGCGCGAGCCUGAACCAGCCAAGUCGCGUGAAGGAGGACUGUCUUAUGGAUUGUAAACUUCUUUUAUACGGGAAUAACAAGAGUCACGUGUGACUCCCUGCAUGUACCGUAUGAAUAAGCAUCGGCUAACUCCGUG